rnacentral:lncRNA from 1 species
GCUGCUUCUUCCUUUUCUUAAGCUCUGAAAAUGCAAACACUUUUUCAAGGUUUUCAGAUAUGCCCAGGUACCCCCAACUGAAAAGGAGGAUAAUGGCAUUGUUCAUCAUGGCUUAUUGUCUUGCCCAGGCAGGAGCCAGCCUCUGACUUGCCAAUCCAGCUGCCCCAGGCUGGAGGUGAUCUUGUCGAGCCUCCUCCCUGCAACUCCACUCCUCUUUUUUCUCUUCCUCAACCACCGGCAUACUUUUGGUCAUCCUUCUUGUUGUCACAAUGGGGGCGUGAUACCAUAAAGACCUGGGAACUCCAAUGAUCUCAGGUCCCGCAGGGGUCAGGUGAGCAUAUAGGAAGUCCAGAAGGACAGUCAUCUGCCACCUCCAGUUAAAAAAGAACAAAACCCUCACACUCCAGGAAUGAGUCAAGAACCCAGUGAAGGCCACAGGUCUAGCCCACAACCACCUAGGUAUGUGGGGUCCUCCAAGGCUCACGCUUGUGUCCUGCAGGCUGGAGCCCAUGCGAGGGUCUGCAGUCUUUGUUCCGGAUGGGGAACUACUGCUUCAGCUGGUUACCCAGGUGCCCCGAUGGGGAAAGGAAGGAAAUGGUGAGAAUCUUCAGCACAGCGGAUCACAUCACCCUGGAAGAGACCAGUCCUGCCUGCGCAUAGCACAAGCAGCCGCAGGCUAGAGGCAGUCAUGUCAGGCCUCCUCCAUACAGCAUCUCUCCUGCUUUUUUUUCAAACGGCCCUAAUCACUUAAUUUGGUCAUCUUCCCUGUCACAAUGGGGCACCUGGCGCUAUAGACACUUGGGAAACACACAGAUCUGGGAUCCUACAUUGUCCAGGUGAAGACGCCGGGAGUCAGAGAGGAAAGUCUUUUGAAGCCUCCAAAAGGAAUGCACAGGACCCUACUUGAAGAGGUGGCGUGCCCAGUGGCGGAUACAGGCCCCACACAUCGCAGCAGUAAACAGGUACUUUGUAUUCUCAAAUUGCAUCUGCUUACCCUGGCCCCCUCAAAAUGGAAGAGUGAUGACUAUUUGUCUUCGUAACACUGUGGGG